UCUUGGUCCUUUGAUUUUAAUCUUUUGGAUCUUAGCUUUAUGAUUUUUUAUCUUCUCUAUGCGUUCACCAAAUGUCAAUGCUUUGAAUAUCAUUUUUCUUUAAUUUUGGUCAACCAAGAUGAUUCAUAUCUGGAUAGCUACAUCAGUACCAUUGGUGUUGACUUUGUGAGUAUCGUCUUCAUACUUUUUUCUCUCUUUCUAUAUUAAGCAUAAAAUAAACAAACUUUUGCCUAGUAAAAAAUCACUUAAAGCUUCUAUGCAUGUUAUUGACAAAGAUAUUUCAUUCCUGUAAGACUCAAAUCCCAUUACAAGUUUCUUAUUGCCAUAAUAAGCGUUAUUUAUAAGGAUCAAUUGCUAAAGGCUACUUGGUAGAGGAGUGUAUGACUUUCCGUUCUAGAUAUUUGGAAGAUGUUGAAACAAGACUGAAUAGGCCAAGUAGACAUGCUGGGUUUACUGAUCAUAACUUGGCCGAAACUUAUUUAUUUCAAAGUUAUGGAGAAUUAAUCGGCAAAGUUGAAAUUGCAGAAUUAGAUGAUAGAUCGUGGGUACAAGCACAUUGAUAUGUUCUUUUUCACCACGAUUCAAUGGAAUCAUUACGCAAUGAGUACAAAUAAAUAUUGAGAUCUCAUUCACGCUCCCGAAGAUUACAACAUCGAGAGAUUAAUAAGUUAUUUACAGAAUCUUUUCAUGAAUGGUUAAGCCAAACGGUUUGGAGUCGGAAGGACGUCGAUGACGAAGUUAAAUGGCUUUCCCAAGGUCCGAAUAGAAUAGAAAAAAGAUAUAGUGCCUUCCUCAUCAACAGAUUCAGAUUUCAUACAAAAUAUCGUGAGAGAUUAAGGAGAACUCAAAAUUGUGGAAUAGUUGUUAAUUCUUCAAUUACAAGUUAUGCUAGUGCUAGGGAAAUGUGGAGUAUUAUGAACUUCUUACUGACAUAAUUGAGCUGGAUUACUAUGGCAAAUGGAAAUUUGUCUUAUUUCGAUGUGAUUGGGCUGAUGUUAAUACUGCUCGCGAAAUUAAACAAGAACAAUUGGUUUUACAAUGGUGAACUUCUCUCGAUUGAUUCACACUGGACAACAAUUGAUAGAUGAGCCGUAUGUAUUUUCUUCUCAAGUGAAACAAGUUUUUUACUCAAAAGAUCCAACUGAUGAGGGUUGGUACGUUGUACUCCGUAACAUCCCUAGAGACUUGUUUGACAUGGGCAAUGGGAGUAGAGAUGGCAUCGACGAUAGAUCAGAAACUUUGUCUUUUCUAGAACAAAACUUAAAUGAAAAUAUCCCUAGUACUAGUACACAAUUUCAAUGGGUUCGCCAGGAUGUUGAUGAAGAUAUUUAUGAAUUAUGAUGUAGUAAGAUUUUAGGAUUUUUUAAUUAUAUGUAAUAUCAUAAUUUAAAUCUUGGUCUUAUUAAAUAUUUCAACUAUUUUAUAUGUACUGUUAUUGUUGUAAUUAGUUACUAAAUUUUCAACUAUUUUAUGUGUAUUGUAGAUAAAAUGCCUAGAAGAAGAUUGCGAGAUCUAAGUAUUGUUCAAAAUACUCCUAACUCGGAAGAAACAAAUAGUGAACAACAGACUGCUAUUGGAUCUUCGAAUGUUUCGAAUACACCUAACGAAACUGCAGAAAUUCAAACUAAAAGUGGUGGGAUGCACAAAGGUCGAGGACGUACGCUACUUAAAGAUUUAUACAAGUUAAAUCCUGUUGAGCGUGUCAAAGUAUGUAGAAACAAUUUUGGUUAGCCUGUUGGAUCAGAAGCUCGACUUUUAGCAAUAUAUUUAGGCAUUAUAGCACGAAAUGCCAAUAUGUUGCCUAUCAACUACGAGUCAUGGCAUCAAAUGCCUGAUAGUAACAAAAAUCAAGCUCUCGAUAAUAUUUAGGAGAGGUUUGCUUUAGAGGUCUCGGAUAAUUAUGUCAAGAAGGCAUUGGGAAAAAGAUGGAGAAACCAUAAAAGUACUUUAAAGAAAGAAUGUUUUAAGACAAAAACAACCCUCGAAGAGAAAUUACGAAAUGUCCCGCUGGGAAUGCUGAGGAUCGUGAACGAGUUGGAACAAGCAACGGGCAAAAACAAAAAUUCACUCACACAACUGGGUCGAAAAGUUUUGCUUGUGUAGCUGAGGACGAGGAACUGUCGUCUGGUCAAAAAGUUGGACGCCUUCAUCUUUUUGACAUUACACAUAGGAAGAAAUAUAGAUCUCCUAUGACUUCUGAAGCUGCAUAAAUUAUGGAUAAACUAAAGGAUAAAAAGGCGGAGUAUCAAGCGGUUGCUUCGAGUGAUAAUUCUGUUAAUCUUGACGACAUUGAUAACUGGAUUAUUACUGAAGUUUUGGGUCCUGAAAGGUAUGGUCGAGUUCGAUUUCAAGGAUCUUUUGUUAACCCAACCCAAUAUUUUAGAUCCAGCUCACAACAAUACAUGCCUUCGGGGAGUCAGACUCAAGCUGAAGUUCAGAGGUUAAGAGACCAGAUGGCACAGAUGCAAGCGAGCACAGAUGAGUGAAUUGCUCAACUUAAAGUGGAAGCUGAAAGAAAAUAUGAAGAACUCCAGCUACAACUUAAAGUAGAGGCAGCAGCGAGGGAAGCAAAGCAGAGCAAAAAGUACGACGCACUCCAGCUACAGCUUCAGAAUAUGAUGAAGAUGUUUCAGCAGUCGUAAAAUCUGCCAUCUUAGACUUGUAUGAAUAUUUUUAACAUUUUAACUUUUAACAUUACUGUAAGAAUAAUUUGAAUUAUACUCCAGUUAUCAAUUUAUAUCAUAUAUCUUUCGUUGAA